rnacentral:lncRNA from 1 species
CUGGCGUGGUGUGAGGAAGGCCCAGUAGGGGUGGCUGUAGGGCGGCACGGUCACCGGGGCCAUCUCCUCCUCUUCCUCCUCCUCGUCCACAUCCCCCAAGGGUAGCGGGAUAUCCAGGGAGGGGGGCAGGGGCACGUCCAGUUUCUCCUUUCCGAAUAGCUUCACUUGCGGCCGCGGAAAGAGGCGGAACUUGCGGAUGAGAGAUAGCUUGGACCUGGCAGGUUUGUCCAUGCCCUGCUGCUCAAAGAAAGCAGAGCUAGGCAGGCGGAAGGAGGUGCCCUGCCGCUCCCCGCCUGGCUCUUCUGGCUCCUCCAGUUCCACAAUGUCAUCCAUGGGGUGGGCGUAUGGGUUGUGGGGUGACAGGAUGGGCGCUGGUACCCAGGGGUAAGCAAAGGCUGACUCUUCUGGGUACAGAUAGGGCGCGCCUGGGGGAUAAAUGGCCUCGUCUCCUCCACCGUAGAUGCCUUCGGCAUAGGGGACAGUGUGGGGGAUCCCAUAGGGAUCAAGGUAGGGCAUACUGUAGGGAUUCUCAUACGGCAGGUCAUAGGAUGGGCAAGGCACUUCGUAGGGCGCAUAGGGAUCCGGGUAGUAGCUGUAGGGGUAGCCUUCGCCUUCGAGCUCGUCCUGGUAGCUGUAGGGUGACGAGUACCCUGAUGGGGGCGCGUAUGGGGGCUCAUAGUCAUAGUAGCCGUAGCCGUGGCCAGGGAAAAAGGAGCCGCCAUAGUGGUCAGGCAGGUAGUAGUCGUAGGGGUCCUCGGGCGGGUACUCGUAGGGGUAGUCAGUGUAGGGUGGCCAGGCUGGGCUGUAGAGACCAUAGCCAGCCAGGUAGGCCUCUUGCUCCUCGUAGCGGUGCAUUGACUGCUGGUCGUAAUAGUCAUCGCCCUCGCGAUGGUAGUCAUAAUAUUCACCCAGGUCCUGGAAGCCUUCCAGUCCAUACAACGACUUUCGAGAGCCCGCGUGCCGAAAGGGUGCCUCGUCCUCAAAAGGUAGCGAACACUGCCCUGAAUGCUAAGAGGUCAGACUUCAGUGGAGCAAGACACGGUCUCUGUCAGAGUUCCCAAGGUCACAGACCUUAAGCUAAGAGUCACAUCAUCCAGAAGAGCUGUGAAAGUCAAAGCAUGACCCCAGGUACUCAACACCACAAUGGAGGCCCAGGAAAGCUCCUCUAAGAAGAGGAGAGGUACGUAGAGAGGCGGCUACCCAAGGACAGUGAAGAACCAUCCGAAGCCAAAGACAGAGGCCUUGGGAGAAACCAGCCAGCCUAGACCUUGAUCUGAGACUUCUAGCCUCCAGAACUUUCUGUUGUUCAAGCCAGGUCUGUAGUGCUCUCUCAUGGUAGCCCUAGCUAAGACAAAGUAGUUGCCAAAUCAACUGGACAAAUCCAGGUGACAGAAUGAUGGAGACAAUGACACAAAGAAACAAAGAGGGAGAAAGAAAGAUGCAGAGUGACACAACACAGAAAAAGAGAGAGAAGGAGACUGAUGAUCUGAGGAAUGAGGUGUCCAGGAGAAGUGACCUGGCCCUGGCCUCCUCCAUGAGUGUGCGUGGUUGGGGAAGAUUUUUCAGGCCAGGACUGCACAGCAAGUGAGGGAGGAGUGAGUGGCAGGGCUAAAGGUGAGCCUGAGGCAGUCUGGGGGCUGUGGGGUAAUACUCAAUUUUUUUUUAAGACAGGCUUUUCUUUUUCCAGUAGCAGGAAUCAAACUCAGGAUCUUAUGCUUGCCAGGAAGGCAUGGCACCGCUGAGCUACAUCCCUGGCCCCGAUACACAGUUCUUGAGGAGGGCAGAUGAGCUUGGAGUUUCUUGCCAAAAGAGGGUUCCAAAAUAAUGAACUGUAUAAUCUAAGCUGGAGGAGGGACAUGGAGAAUGAAUAUACAGAUAUUGUACAGACACACAGAUGCUUUUUCCCUUGGCUUCUUUACAUGAGCUUUCUAAAGCUGCAGGCCAGGUUGUCCUCUGGGGUACCAGCCUGGGGCUGAGUACAGCCCUGCUGUGUGGGGAUGGGCUGAGUGAAGCUGCAGGACCCUCCUGUAAUGGCCAGGGGAGGGUGAGUGAUGGGACCAAGGUGGCCAACAGGAACAGGGCCCAGCCCUGGAGUUCACCUUGGUAGCAUGGGUUAGGGACCACAGAGGUUGCUUAGAGGGCUUCCCAGCCAAAGGCCACUAAGCUGGCUUGUCACUUUGACUUGGGCAUGUACAGCUGAAAAGUCCCUCUCACACAGUUCACCCUUGCUGAUCACAGAUCCAAAAAGUCCAGGGCACAAUACAUGGAGAUGUCUCUGAUCCCCAACACAAAGACUGAGCCCAGCAAACAAGUUCAC